CCCGCAGCCCCGCCGUGGGACGGCGGUUCCGCGCUUCAUGCAGCAAAUGGCCGGCACACAGCGGCGAAAUAUUAAAUUUAGGUGCCUGCGUCCCUCGGGUUGCCCGGGGGGGCCCCCGCUGCCCGCGGCGCUUUGUCUGCACUGCCGCGGCGGGGGCUGCGCGGCCCCCAGGUGCACACGGGCGUGCGGCGGCCGCCUGUAAAAGGAAAAGUGCUCAGCAAGUUGGGGCUUUUUCUUUCUCCCCCCCCCCAACAACAACCGAGCAAACAGCUGGGUUUCCGCUAAACAAUGCGUAAAAAAUUAGCCUCGCCCCGAAGUUGAUGUCGGGUUUGCAGCGCUAACGUUGCUCCCGGAUGGGAAAUGUUUUCCGAGCACUUUUGGAAAACACUGGCGAUUCCUCAGUUACGAAAGAAGAAUUACAAGCACGUCCGCAGACCUCUCCGCGGCUACGUGUCCCGAGCCUCACAUCACCUUCUCCAGACCUUUUGAAGAAACGCACGUCCGCACCCGGCACGGUCACCGCCGCACACCGCCCGUCUCAUGUAACGCCAGCAGCCGCCACCUACUCCUGCCGCACGGCGUGCGAAAACUACCGCCCGCCCCCCCCCCCCAAAAAAAAAACACCAGCAACAACAAAGCUCGGCUUUUUCGUGGGGGGAAAAAGGAAAAAAAAAGAAAAGUUGUCUAGCGCGGCGGUGCCCUCCAAGAAAAGCCGGAUCCCCGGUGGAGCCGCGCACGGGCGCUGCGCGCAGCGCGGAGGCCGCUGCUGCCGGUGCUGCUUUCCCAUCGCGGAGCUCCGAGCCGAAACAAAGCGGCGAAUCAAGUGCGAUGCAGAUGGGCGGCUGUGAAUUUUUUGCUGCUGCUUAGAGCUUUAAUUACUCGUUCUUGAUCCGUGGGACUACGACACGACACCGCCAAGGUUAAAAUGCCCUGAACAGCUCUGAGCAGAUGUGAACGAGUUGGCAGACGCGCAAAUGAGGUCUGCCUCUAAGCAUGAUAACAAGUGACUAAUACAUUGCAUAUCGCUGAAAGAAAAUUAUUUUUCUCUAAUUUGCAUUAGCUUUUUUUUCUUUUUUUAACGCCAGCGACAUUCCCUCCUCAGAGGCAGCAGCAUAAUCCUGAAAAUGUUACUCCGUGACUUUAAAAGAUUUGGAAGGAGGCAGAGAUUGCCAGUGUUUUGGCUAUGCAGACUUGUUUAUCUUUCCGCCUUUGCUCCAAGGCGAAACUAGUUUCGCAAGCAGUAUUCUUGCAGAAAAACGGCACAUGUCAUAUAAAACACCAGUUUAUAGGAACUGAUGCUAAAAUUGUUGAAUGAGUACUGGCGUACUUUCGCCACUAAUAGCACAGCAUAAUCCAUAAAGGACCAAAGGGACGGUCAAGGCCAAAAGGAAAAAAAAAUAGAUUGACUGGAGAAAAAUAGAUAAAGGCAACCCAUCGACCAAAAUUACAAAAAAGGUGGGGAAAAUAAGCAUUUCCCCGUCCUCACUGCUUUCCGCCCCCAGAGCAGCCUCGUCAAAAAGACAAUAGUACGUGGAGGUCACUUACUAUAUAAAACAGAGCGACUCUCGCAGGUAGCAAAACUGUGUCAGGUACAAAUAUAGGCCGGAACCCAGUUCUCCGAGUUCUCUCGACUUUCCAGAGGCUCUUCGGAAAGGGCCGAGAGCGGUUUGGAUACAGGAGCAAACUUCAGGGACGGGGAGCAUUCUGUAUCGUGCUCCCAAAGGCGUGAGCAGAAGGCUGGGACGCGGAGGCCGGGCCGAGGGGCCAGUGGCUCAAGUUAUUUAUGCAGGCGCAGUGCUGGACCGAGGAGCUCCUCCCGGGGCGCCCGCACGGCCGGCUGGAUCGAGGAUCGCGCCCAGCGAUCUCCGGAGAUAACAACUUCUCUUGCACCAGCACGUGCUCGAAAAACAAACACACGCUGCCGUUCACCAGAUUGUCAGGAUACGCGCUGCCGAGUCGGGAGACACCCUAACGCAAUAAAUUACUCCAGGCGGGUUUUGGCGUUCACCGACGGCGCUGGGUCAGGCGCGGCCCGGCGGCAACCCCCCCCCCCGGCCCCCCCGCGUUGCUCCCACGCCGCGGACCCGCUUCCGCGGGUGCUGGCGGUGCAAACCCGCUGCCCCGUCCACGAGGAGAAACGCCGUCCCGGCAACAAACUCGGCGGGGGUCGGACGCGGAGCCGGCGCAGGAGCGAGCCGGCCUGCCGGCUGCUCCCUUAACACCCGGCGCUUGUAAAUCAAGAGGCGGAGAGGCGGGAGGCAGGGCCGGGCUCUGCCGGCCUCGGGGCGCUUGCCCGAAGGCUGCCGCUGGCGGCGGGGACAGCGCUGCGCAGCGCGGCGCCCGGCGGCCCCGGGGCGCCCCGUCGGGCCGGGAGCGCCGGGCGGCCCCAGGGCUGCCGCGGCCGCAGCUUUUGUGUGCGAGUGGCGAAGAGGCGCGGGCUAUUCGCGCUCCAACAGCUGUCACAUUAUUUGCACUAGCUGCAAACAGCCUUCGCAUUCCCCCCCUUAGCACAUAGUUAAAUCCAGACUAACAAUCCACAGUUAGAGAUCAAACCAACAACAGCAGCAUUGUUUCUGCCUUCAUUGCUUUACCAUCAACUACUGCAGCUGGGUUACUCGAAACAAGGAACACCCUCUGCCUGCCUCCCCCGCCGCUGCCCCGGGGGGAAACGGGCUCGUUGCGGGCGAGUGUUCAGGCGGAGGAGCCUCGCCGCUCCGGGGGCUGCUGCGGCACCGGGGCGGCGACGGGGGGGUCGCUUUACCCCACCAGACCCACCGGUUAUCUGCCGGGGUCCCCAGCACCGCGGCGUCCUCCCCCAACUGGGACGGGUUUGCUGCCCGACAGGAGUUUCGCCGGGACUUGAGCUCGGCUCCCGGGCCGGCUUUUUGGCAGGCAGGCCGUGGCGGGUCCUGCUCGCCGCCCCCCGGGGCGAAAUCCUCCCCUCCGGGCACUGAGCUCCCCCAGAUGCUCACCUUCACCUUCCCUCUGCCGGCUCGCAGCCCCGCUCUACCUGUUACCGCCCCAAACACAGCCCGGCCGACGCAAACCCACCCAACGGAGCCAGGCCCCGCAUCCGUCUCUGAAAGCGCCCACUCCACCCACCUCCAGCCCUUUCCCUAAUAAUAAUAACACUAAUCAUUAAAAAAAAUCAGCAACCUAAAGGGUGAGUCAAACUUUGCUCAGAAUACGACAGUCUGGCAGCAAAUGAGUGUGUUGUGCAUGCUUGCGCUCUUUUGUCGGGCACAGCUGGAAUUCGAGUAUAAAUCCCAGAACCUCUUUCCCUGCGCUCGUUUAUAUUUCAUAUUAGCCGCAAAGUUAGAGGAGAAGUGGAAUUUAUCGAACAGAAGUGAGAGGAAAAUAAAUCAAUCUGAGGAAACCUUUCCUUGCCUACAGCUUGACUCCCAGCACUACCCAAAACGUAUAUCUGUACAGGAAAAUCCUGACGGGGCAAAUUUCUCUAAAAAUCGUGUAAUUGGAUGAACUCUUGAAGAGACCACGGGAACUCCAGUUACGUAUGAGUUUCUAGAUGCUUAUACAUCGCUUUGGAACCGGCAGCAGCAUGGGAAAAGGGGGAUUUUUCGGAAGAACAUUUCCACCUCAGCCUGACUCUCACUAAAGGGCAGCAUUUCCCAGACAGGUGGGGUGCCUAGCACUGAUGUGCUGCAUCUCCGCUAACUUCUGAAUCACAUUCACUGACAAAUGAUGCCACGAAUUUGCAGAUCACAAAUUAUAUUUCAUGCUGUCAGGAUCUUCUCCAAGCGGACUUCCUUGCAUGUCUAAUCACACGGCACCGAAUCUAUUAUCACACAAGUGGUGAAAGAGAAGAUGGAAAAAAGUCUCCUCUCAGCCAAGAACUGCUGUCCAGCAAACAAGGAAAAAUGAAAUCUCUGCUGGAAAGGAGCAGAACUUUCCUAAAUCUGCAUUUGCUACGAGUUCUUGGCCUCCCUCUUUCCGUCCCCACCUCGUCUGCUCAUCCAUUCGAAGGCACGCAUGUAUCGAAGGCACGCUACACGCUCCAGAGAAACCCUCACAAAACACGCAUUGCCUCCAGAGAGGACAGCUAAUUCUAGCCACGGCCUCGGGUCCCGAACCGCUCGGAGGGAAAGGUCGCUCCAGAGUAACAUUCGCUACAAGCCUGCUCCGUGAAAGGACACCAGGAUUAAAUGCAAGCCAGGGCUGCUCACGGCCGCGGGAACUCCCUCUGCCUGCAGCCGAGGCCUCCGUGCUGGCUUCUGCCUGCGCGCACACACACGCACAUACACACACAGUGAGCGAGAGCGGCUCGGUGCAGUUGAAAGCGCUCAGCCCACCUCUCCGAAGGAGCCUGCUCGAUUCUGUUUAGGUGCCUGGGUUAUUGCAAAAGCACGAGAUGGGGGACCAGGCCCGCUGUGGCUAUCAAUUACUUCUAAAGCGGCGUCGGCCUAAGGAGUAAAUAUUAAACUCGGCUUUAUGCUGCUCUUCAUAAGCCCGCACUAAAAUAUGAUCUAUUGCGGCAUUCGGGGGAAAGAUAGCGUAUCGCAUAUCACCUGUGCAACUGAACGAUACUGCGGAGCCCCAGCAAGAGCCCUGUCACCUUUGUACGCACUCCUCCACAGUCGGAGCCCUGUCCUCCUCCGCGCCCAGCCCUAGCAAGAGCCACACUUGUUCCGUGGGCCACACGGCUGCUAGAGCCACGACACAGUCUAGAGCAGGCCCUUGGCCUGUCUUUUCAAGGGCCACUAACUGGUAACAGUUCAGAGAUCUUUUAGACGACAGCCACAGAUCUGCUAAGGCCACUUUGGUAUGCGCAGCACCAAGCAGGUCGUGCUGUGGUGGCCUCAGCCCGUUUUCUCCACAAGCUGAGACCCGAAAGCAUGUCAACAACUUUGUGUGGUCUCACAGCUGUACAGCUCCGCAAAGUUUGCUUGUGCAAACUGCUACAGGAUCCUCUAACGCUCAAUAGCCUUGCCUCUGGCAUCACGCUAAGGGGACUGGAUUUGGCUUCCUUAUGCUCUUGGCCUCAGAAAAAGUGAAUUAUCGUGGGGUGGGGGGACAAGGAGGGAAAGGGGACAGUGGUUUUGAGCCGCCUGAAAAGCUACAGCUCUCAGCACAUCCUGGUAAAGGCAGAUGCAGUGCGUGACAUGGCGCCUGGAUUGUCCACCAGCACAGGAAUAAAGCCAAGCCACCAGUAUUGUUUCAAGACCCAGUCCAUAUUUGGGCAUACGGUUCACACAUUCUAAGUAUUGCUUUAAAUAUUAGAACGGAGACAGUCGCCAGUGGGGUUCAUAACACACACCAACGAGAGAAGUCAUUUCUGCUCAGUCUCAGAUUACUAGUUUGGUCUUGCUGGUCUUUUUUUGGGGAGGGGGGCGAGAAGAGAGGGAAACCCUGCUGAGUCUGUUUGUACUGGUCUCUAUUAGAUAUGCAACAAAUCUGCCGUUUCCGGCGUUGCUUCUAUCUAAUUAGAGAUGUAUUUAGAUGUGACGUGUAAAUAAGCGCUGAGCUGCCUGCUGCCCUGGCUCGGCGGACGGCUCGGGAGCAUUUCCAAUAAGGCUGUAGCGCCCGGAACCAGGGCUCAGACAAAGAGGCACGGGAAUGGUCUGCGCUGCAGGCGACUCCGACAAAACCAGCUUUUAUCUAUCGCUCGAAAGCUUUAACUGCUUUUAAUCUGCACCGCCCAGGCCUGCACGGCACGAUCGCAUCUCGUCCACCGAGGACGCCGUACUACAAAAGGAAACGCACACACGGAGCAAACAACCCCAAACCCACCCCGGCCGGAGUGCAAGCCCUGCCCUCCCGGCCUGCCCCGCCGCCCCACGACGUGCGCCCUCCGCCAAGCCCGACGUGCUCCAAAACCUCCGGAGGCUCCGGUUCCUGAGCUCGCAGGGAGCCUGAGCGGCUGUCUAGACCGAUCUAUCACAGACGGACAAACAAUACCAGGAGAAGCCCCUGCCCGGUCCCUCAGCCUCCGCCACUCACCUUAGAAAUGGUGAAGAACAGAAAAGUGACCGCGAUACAAUCCUCCCCGGUAUAUUUAUAGCCUUCCACACAGCCCACCUUCAUGCCUGACAAAUGAGAUUUUGUCUGCUCGCUCCGCGUACGCUCCAAUAAACACACACACACUUUU